AGAAAUUAUAUGUUCCUUAUCUCUUUAAUUAGAGUGUAUAUAAUGUUAGUAAUGAUGUAUUAUCUAUGUAUUCAUUUUAAAGGGUUGUUUUGAUGUCAGGCUUGCUUAUAUGGGGUCAUUGGUAUGAGGAUGUGCAUAAAACCAGAUUUUAAAUCCCUGAAGAGUUAUAUAACCCGGCAUUUCCAAAGCACUUGACCUCAGAAGUACUUUAGAUUGCUCGUUUCUCAUGUUUCACUAAUUUUUUUACAUUGUGCCUCACUUGGCAAACACUAAAUUGCAGGAAGUCAUGUGCAAUAAGGGACAGAAACAAGUUCCCUUUAUUUGGCUCUUAGUGUGGUCAUUGGCAUGAUGAGGAAGAGUGACAGCAUCUGAGAUGAAGACACAGCUGUAAACUCUGCAGCUCCACAACCCCCCAGGCUCCUGCAGUUAGCCAUUAGAUCCUUUAGGGAAGGGAGAACAGAUAGAGCAUUACCUGGUGUAGGUUUGCUGCCAGUUUUUUAAGGGUUUCAGCCCAGAAGCUCUGUGGUGCUGGGUAUGGAGUGCUGCUCCAUACCCACGCUGCUCCCCAAGGACAUGCUGCAGGCCCUCCAGCUGAGUUCCAGCCCUAAGGAGAACCAAAGGUCUUGUUUGUCCCUUCAAAAGCCAAACUGGAGAUGGAAAGGCACAUCUGUCUGAUCAGAGAUUGAGAAGAACCUGGACGUGACCUCAGAGGCAGCUGGAGUGAAGUGAAGACAAGGGAACUGCUGCCAAGGAGAGGCCAUCAAGUGAAGCCAGGACAGGAGAGGAUACAGCCUUUUCAUGGAAAUAAUAUUUCCUCCUCUAUGUCUGCUGCACUUGGCACACAAUGGAGUCUCAUUACUCAACAGAACCUCUACGUGCCAUGAAAAAUAAAUUAUUAAACUCCAGCCAUUUCGCAAAGACUGGCUUUAUGAUAGCUGGCACGGUGCAUGGCCUGGGAGCUGCACACAAAUACUCGAGAAGGAUGAAAUGCUGUUUGGCUUCCACCAACAGAGAUAAGAAAUGCACACCUGCCCCCCUGAGAGUCUCCAGCUGCACUGGCAAUUCCUAGUAACUGUGGUGCCACAGCUUUGCUGCAGGGUGAGAUGUAUGACAAGCUGGCCCUUCGGAGGGAUGCUGGCUCUGCCUCACUGCUGGCCUGCCCUACAAAAUGGGUACUAAUGUGACAGAGGAUGAAAAUGGCAGUCCUGACAGGCUGACUGGGAUGGCAGCUCUGCAGAGAGCUGUGGAAACUCGGAAGGACUGACUGACUGCUAGACCUCAGCUUCUGGAAGCUGGCAGAAGAGGAGAUUCCAUCCUGAGAGGUGCUAAGCUGCUGCUGCUGCUGCCAGGAGAGUAAAGAAGGCACAGGGCGUCCCAUGUGACACGGGAAACUUGAGGAGCAGCACAGGACACGGACCAGUUCCUCCACAAUUUAGUCUUGGCUGUGUCUCCAGUGAGAAAGUACUACUUGGAACAUAAAGGAAUUCGAGAGAACACGCAGAGGAAAACAAAAAACACGAGAUGUCAUUUUACAUUUGAUUUCAAAAAGUGAAUUUAGCAGAUCCUGAUUUUCCAGACAUGGAACAGGCUUCCUGUAGAAGUACCUCCAGUGUUUUAAUUGAUGCAUUUGCACCAGGGAGAGCUGAUGCAACACGAGGACCAUCAAGCCCAUGGGUCAACAGUUUCAGAAAUAAGUAUCUAAAAUUAGGUGGCUAAUUCCAUAAUUAGGAACUUGAGAAGAGGUGGACUGUUUUUUAAAAACACUGCAGGAGGGACAAAUUCUGCUGAAGUCAAUUGGAGCUGGAGAUCCUGAGGCAAGCCACAAAUGUAACAGAGGCCUCAGGGCUGUUCCAAAGGCUGCUGGGGAGUAGCUGUGUGGAGGAACUUCUGCAUGGGUUGGGGAUGAAUACAGAACAAAACCUCCUCUGCAGCACCCACCUACAAGGUCCUUCUGCCUCCCAGACCAGUGUGGAAUAAAGCUCCAGGUGAGGAGCUCUGAAAACACUGACUAAUGACACUCAUGGAUCUUGGCAUGA